ACCUUAGUCCCUCUUUAGCCACACAUUGUAGGUAAGGGAGACUUGAGAAAUCAGCCUCAGUCAACACUCGUUCGAACCCAAUGACACGGUCUAGCUCCUCUUGAGCCUUCUGUUGCACCCUUGGGUUCUUAAUUAGCUCAGCCAUUGCCCAUUCUACAGUGAUUGCAGUUGUGUCCAUGCCAGCAGUAAUCAUAUCCCAA
rnacentral:misc_RNA from 1 species